AUGUCUUUUUCAGUUACCCUUUGGGCGGAUGCUCCAAGCCAAGAUCAUUGCCAGGCCUAUUUUCCUUUCGAAGGGCGAUAUAUGUAUGAUCAGGGGAGGAAGGCACAGAAUAAAUUACGUGUGGAUCAUAUUGUGGGUGUGAAACUGCUGAGCAGUGUCUCCGGGCAGGAUUAGCAUACCGGUUUCACACCUUCACCAUCUGAGCCCAAUAAACAUCUUGACAUCCAAUCAGAAUGACUUCUAGAAUCCAACCAGAGGUUGCAGAAGAUGCAGGAAUAUGCAAGACAGCAUUCCAUGACAUUGCCGGACCUCUACAAGAACAGAUGCCUAUAACAGUAGAAUUAUCUG